rnacentral:rRNA from 1 species
UACGUAUGGGGCAAGCGUUAUCCGGAUUUACUGGGUGUAAAGGGAGCGUAGGCGGCGGGGCAAGCCUGAUGUGAAAGCCCGGGGCCCAACCCCGGGACUGCAUUGGGAACUGCCCUGCUGGAGUGCCGGAGGGGCAGGCGGAAUUCCUAGUGUAGCGGUGAAAUGCGUAGAUAUUAGGAGGAACACCAGUGGCGAAGGCGGCCUGCUGGACGGUGACUGACGCUGAGGCUCGAAAGCGUGGGGAGCAAACAGG